UUCAGUUUAGGGUUUAAAACCCUAAUGCUGACUAAAGGAAAAGUUCAGUUUAGGGUUUAAAACCUUAAUGCUGACUGAAUGGAAAAAGUUCAGUUUAGGGUUUAAAACCUUAAUGCUGACUGAAUGGAAAAGAGUUCAGUUUAGGGUUUAAAACCCUAAAGCUGACUGAAUGGAAAAGAGUUCAAUUUAGGGUUUAAAACCCUAAUGCUGACUGGAUGGAAAAGAGUUCAGUUUAUUGUUUAAAACCCUAAUGCUGAAUAAAGGAAAAAGUUCAGUUUAGGGUUUAAAACCCUAAAGCUGACUGAAUGGAAAAAGUUCAGUUUAGGGUUUAAAACCCUAAAGCUGACCUAAUGGAAAAGAGUUCAGUUUAGGGUUUAAAACCCUAAUGCUGACUGGAUGGAAAAUAGUUCAGUUUAGGGUUUAAAACACUAAUGCUGACUGAAUGGAAAAGAGUUCAGUUUAGGGUUUAAAACCCUAAUGCUGACUAGAUGGAAAAGAGUUCAGUUUAGGGUUUAAA
rnacentral:lncRNA from 1 species